rnacentral:rRNA from 1 species
AUUGAACGCUGGCGGCAGGCCUAACACAUGCAAGUCGAACGGAGCGGCGGACGGGUGAGAAAUGCCUAGGAAUCUGCCCGGUAGUGGGGGAUAACGUCCGGAAACGGGCGCUAAUACCGCAUAAUAUCAGCUGAGCCUAGGUCGGAUUAGCUAGUGGGAGGGGUAAAGGCCUACCAAGGCGACGAUCCGUAACUGGUCUGAGAGGAUGAUCAGUCACACUGGGACUGGGACACGGUCCAGACUCCUACGGGAGGCAGCAGUGGGGAAUAUUGGACAAUGGGCGAAAGCCUGAUCCAGCCAUGCCGCGUGUGUGAAGAAGGUCUUCGGAUUGUAAAGCACUUUAAGUUGGGAGGCGUUACCCGCAGAAGAAGCACCGGCUAACUCCGUGCCAGCCGCCGCGGUAAUUC